CCAGCAGGUUAAGCUGGGCACUCUGGCGAGACUGCCGUUGAUAAAACGGAGGAAGGUGGGGACGACGUCAAAUCAUCAUGCCCCUUACUGUCCUGGGCGUACACACGUACUACAAUGGCAGCAACAGAGGGCAGCCAGGCCGCGAGGCCGAGCGAAUCCCAAAAUGCUGUCUCAGUUCAGAUUGCAGGCUGCAACUCGCCUGCAUGAAGUCGGAAUUGCUAGUAAUCGCGGAUCAGCACGCCGCGGUGAAUACGUUCCCGGGCCUU
rnacentral:rRNA from 1 species